ACCCCGUAACUUAGGGAUAAGGGGUGCCACCAUCAGGUGGCCGCAGAGAAUAGGCCCAAGCGACUGUUUACCAAAAACAUAGGUUUCUGCUAAGUCGCAAGAUGAUGUAUAGGAGCUGACGCCUGCCCGGUGCUGGAAGGUUAAGGGGAUCUGUUAGAGCAAUCGAAGCAGUGAACUUAAGCCCCAGUAAACGGCGGCCGUAACU
rnacentral:rRNA from 1 species